GUGGGGAGUGUAGAUUUGCAUAAACGCUCUCACUCACUGCCCCAAAGGACCUGAAGAGGGAAUAAGAGGAGCUUCGGGGAGCCCAGCUGGGCCGUGGGGUCUCAGCACGCAGAGCCCUGGGGCGUCUUCACCAUGGCCUGGACCCCUCUCCUCCUCCCCCUCUUCACUCUCUGCACAGGCUCCGUGGCCUCCUAUGAGCUGAUUCAGCCACCCUCUGUGUCAGUGGACCCGGGACAGACGGCCUUAAUCACCUGCUCUGGGGAUCUACUGAGUAAAAAUUAUGCUUACUGGUACCAGCAGAAGCCCGGCCAGGCUCCCAGGCUGGUCAUUUACAAGGAUAGUGAGCGGCCCUCAGGGAUCCCUGACCGGUUCUCGGGUGCCAGCUCAGGGAACACGGCCACCCUGACCAUCAGCGGAGCCCGGACUGAGGACGAGGCCGACUACUACUGUCAGUCAUAUGACAGCAGUGAUAAUACUCACAGAGACACAGGCAGGUGGGCAAGUGAGACACAAACCCCUUCUGUUUGUGUCCCCUCCGGCCCCCGGAGGGCGUAGACAAAGCAUGGGAGCAGGUGGCACAGUUCCCCAUAUCUGAGACUGCCCCGCAGCGUCCCCACCUGCGGCUGGCAGCUCUGCAGGGUCCGGAUCAGAAGUGCAUCGCAGCUGCGGGCUGAGGCGGUUUUCUUGUCCUCAGCUGGAGUGGG